rnacentral:rRNA from 1 species
GAUGAACGCUGGCGGCGUGCCUAAUACAUGCAAGUCGAGCGAACGGACGAGAAGCUUGCUUCUCUGAUGUUAGCGGCGGACGGGUGAGUAACACGUGGAUAACCUACCUAUAAGACUGGGAUAACUUCGGGAAACCGGAGCUAAUACCGGAUAAUAUUUUGAACCGCAUGGUUCAAAAGUGAAAGACGGUCUUGCUGUCACUUAUAGAUGGAUCCGCGCUGCAUUAGCUAGUUGGUAAGGUAACGGCCUACCAAGGCAACGAUGCAUAGCCGACCUGAGAGGGUGAUCGGCCACACUGGAACUGAGACACGGUCCAGACUCCUACGGGAGGCAGCAGUAGGGAAUCUUCCGCAAUGGGCGAAAGCCUGACGGAGCAACGCCGCGUGAGGGAUGAAGGUCUUCGGAUCGUAAAACUCUGUUAUUAGGGAAGAACAUAUGUGUAAGUAACUGUGCACAUCUUGACGGUACCUAAUCAGAAAGCCACGGCUAACUACGUG